rnacentral:rRNA from 1 species
GAUGAACGCUGGCGGCGUGCCUAAUACAUGCAAGUCGAGCGAACAGACGAGGAGCUUGCUCCUCUGACGUUAGCGGCGGACGGGUGAGUAACACGUGGAUAACCUACCUAUAAGACUGGGGUAACUUCGGGAAACCGGAGCUAAUACCGGAUAAUAUAUUGAACCGCAUGGUUCAAUAGUGAAAGACGGUUUUGCUGUCACUUAUAGAUGGAUCCGCGCCGCAUUAGCUAGUUGGUAAGGUAACGGCUUACCAAGGCAACGAUGCGUAGCCGACCUGAGAGGGUGAUCGGCCACACUGGAACUGAGACACGGUCCAGACUCCUACGGGAGGCAGCAGUAGGGAAUCUUCCGCAAUGGGCGAAAGCCUGACGGAGCAACGCCGCGUGAGUGAUGAAGGUCUUCGGAUCGUAAAACUCUGUUAUUAGGGAAGAACAAAUGUGUAAGUAACUAUGUACGUCUUGACGGUACCUAAUCAGAAAGCCACGGCUAACUACGUG